rnacentral:lncRNA from 1 species
GCAGUGUUUAAAUUGCUUUUCUUUAAUCAAUUCGCACAUAUUUGUUGGGACAUUUAGCAAAAUGGGAAAUGGUAGAGUUGCCCGGUUUUGCCGAGCUCUAAGCUUGGAAGCAGAGCCGGCUACCGCGUUCAGGUUUCACGAGAAGCCCAGACUCAGGGUGAAUCCUGAAGGUUGAUCCAUCAUAUAAGCUUCCUCCAUCUCCCUCUGUGCAGGGCUGACUGGAGAAACGCUUAAAUAAGAAGAAAGCUGCAAGGUGGGGGCGGGAGCAUGUACAGCUGUGGGUCAUUAGCAAUAAUCACGGCCCGCCGGCAGGAGAGGAAGCCGAGCGUGGGGACAAGGGAGAGGCUUGGUCACCAGGAUAAAGAACACAGUGUAAAAGAUCUGGCCGCAACCCUGAAUUUGCCAGCUUCAGUGUAGACUGUUGCACUGGGGCAUGAGAAGGAGAGCAGAGCAUCCAUGGUUUAGAGGGAAAAAGUAAGUUCAGCGGAAAAUACUGUUUAGAUUUGGUUUUGUCUGUUUUUUUUUUUUUUUUUUAAUCAGUCCUACAAGACCAGGAUUGAAGAGACUUGGUGUGAAAAUAAUUUAUAUACAAAGCCAGAGGAGCUGGGUGACCCACAAGCUUAUGUGGGCAUCGCUGAGGCUUGGGUUAUUCUGAGUUAAUAGACUCGCGAUGCUUGCCCUGCACUCAGCCCGAG